AUUAUACUCCCUCCGUCCGAAAACACUUGUCAUCAAAAUGGACAAAACUGGAUGUAUCUAAAACUAAAAUACAUCUAGAUACAUCCCUUUUAUCCAUUUUGAUGACAAGUAUUUUCGGACGGAGGGAGUAUAUA
rnacentral:pre_miRNA from 1 species